GUGGGGAAGUCUUGCGCAAUGGGCGAAAGCCUGACGCAGCGACGCCGCGUGCGGGAUGACGGCCUUCGGGUUGUAAACCGCUUUCAGCAGGGACGAGGCCGCAAGGUGACGGUACCUGCAGAAGAAGCCCCGGCUAACUACGUGCC
rnacentral:rRNA from 1 species